rnacentral:rRNA from 1 species
GAUGAACGCUAGCUACAGGCUUAACACAUGCAAGUCGAGGGGAAACGGCAUUAAGUGCUUGCACUCUUUGGACGUCGACCGGCGCACGGGUGAGUAACGCGUAUCCAACCUUCCCAUGACUAAGGGAUAACCUGCCGAAAGGCAGACUAAUACCUUAUGGUCUUCACUGACGGCAUCAGAUGUGAAGUAAAGAUUUAUCGGUUAUGGAUGGGGAUGCGUCUGAUUAGCUUGUUGGCGGGGUAACGGCCCACCAAGGCAACGAUCAGUAGGGGUUCUGAGAGGAACGUCCCCCACAGUGGAACUGAGACACGGUCCAAACUCCUACGGGAGGCAGCAGUGAGGAAUAUUGGUCAAUGGGCGAGUGCCUGAACCAGCCAAGUAGCGUGCAGGAUGACGGCCCUAUGGGUUGUAAACUGCUUUUGUAUGGGGAUAAAGUCAAUCACGUGUGAUUGUUUGCAGGUACCAUACGAAUAAGGACCGGCUAAUUCCGUG